AUGGGGCAAGCAAAGCAAGGCAGAGCGGAUGAGAUGGGGCGGAGGGGAAGGGGAAGGGGAAGCUCACUCUGGCCGUUGCGGGCGGUGAAGAGGACGGUGGCGGUGGGGUCUCCGACGAGGCACUCAGCGACGCGGGUGCGGGCGGCGGGCUUGUCGAGGACGGUGCGGGCGGAGAGGACGCGCGCGACGUUCCGGAUCAAGGGCCACGCGUUCCACCCGGCGCCGGUGCGCUUCCGCGAGGCCCCCAACGGCACGGUGCGGUCCUUCUCCAUCUCCUUCGUGUUCGGCAUCCUCUCCUCAUUCGGCGACAUACGGGGCCAUGGCUUCGCCUUCUUCAUCGCCCCGAGCACCGACCUCUCCGCCGCCUUUCCCAUCCAGUUCCUGGGCCUUAUCAAUGCCACUAAUAAUGGAAGCACGAGCAACCACCUCGGCACCUCUUCGCCGUCGAGCUCGACACCAUCCAAAACACCGAGUUCGGGGACAUCGACAACAACCAUGCCGGCAUCGACAUCAACAGCCUUAACUCGGUGA
rnacentral:rRNA from 1 species